AUUGAACGCUGGCGGCAUGCCUUACACAUGCAAGUCGAACGGCAGCAUGAUCUAGCUUGCUAGAUUGAUGGCGAGUGGCGAACGGGUGAGUAAUACAUCGGAACGUGCCCUGUAGUGGGGGAUAACUAGUCGAAAGAUUAGCUAAUACCGCAUACGACCUGAGGGUGAAAGUGGGGGACCGCAAGGCCUCAUGCUAUAGGAGCGGCCGAUGUCUGAUUAGCUAGUUGGUGAGGUAAAGGCUCACCAAGGCGACGAUAAGUAGCUGGUCUGAGAGGACGAUCAGCCACACUGGGACUGAGACACGGCCCAGACUCCUACGGAAGGCAGCAGUGGGGAAUUUUGGACAAUGGGGGGCAACCCUGAUCCAGCAAUGCCGCGUGUGUGAAGAAGGCCUUCGGGUUGUAAAGCACUUUUGUCCGGAAAGAAAUCGCACUUACUAAUAUUAGGUGUGGAUGACGGUACCGGAAGAAUAAGGACCGGCUAACUACGUGCCAGCAGCCGCAGUAAGAC
rnacentral:rRNA from 1 species